AAGUCGAACGAACUUCCGUUAAUUGAUUAUGACGUACUUGUACUGAUUGAGAUUUUAACACGAAGUGAGUGGCGAACGGGUGAGUAACACGUGGGUAACCUGCCCAGAAGUAGGGGAUAACACCUGGAAACAGAUGCUAAUACCGUAUAACAGAGAAAACCGCAUGGUUUUCUUUUAAAAGAUGGCUCUGCUAUCACUUCUGGAUGGACCCGCGGCGUAUUAGCUAGUUGGUGAGGUAAAGGCUCACCAAGGCAGUGAUACGUAGCCGACCUGAGAGGGUAAUCGGCCACAUUGGGACUGAGACACGGCCCAGACUCCUACGGGAGGCAGCAGUAGGGAAUCUUCCACAAUGGACGCAAGUCUGAUGGAGCAACGCCGCGUGAGUGAAGAAGGGUUUCGGCUCGUAAAGCUCUGUUGUUAAAGAAGAACGUGGGUAAGAGUAACUGUUUACCCAGUGACGGUAUUUAACCAGAAAGCCACGGCUAACUACGUGCCAGCAGCCGCGGUAAUACGUAGGUGGCAAGCGUUAUCCGGAUUUAUUGGGCGUAAAGCGAGCGCAGGCGGUCUUUUAAGUCUAAUGUGAAAGCCUUCGGCUCAACCGAAGAAGUGCAUUGGAAACUGGGAGACUUGAGUGCAGAAGAGGACAGUGGAACUCCAUGUGUAGCGGUGAAAUGCGUAGAUAUAUGGAAGAACACCAGUGGCGAAGGCGGCUGUCUGGUCUGCAACUGACGCUGAGGCUCGAAAGCAUGGGUAGCGAACAGGAUUAGAUACCCUGGUAGUCCAUGCCGUAAACGAUGAUUACUAAGUGUUGGAGGGUUUCCGCCCUUCAGUGCUGCAGCUAACGCAUUAAGUAAUCCGCCUGGGGAGUACGACCGCAAGGUUGAAACUCAAAAGAAUUGACGGGGGCCCGCACAAGCGGUGGAGCAUGUGGUUUAAUUCGAAGCUACGCGAAGAACCUUACCAGGUCUUGACAUCUUCUGACAGUCUAAGAGAUUAGAGGUUCCCUUCGGGGACAGAAUGACAGGUGGUGCAUGGUUGUCGUCAGCUCGUGUCGUGAGAUGUUGGGUUAAGUCCCGCAACGAGCGCAACCCUUAUUACUAGUUGCCAGCAUUAAGUUGGGCACUCUAGUGAGACUGCCGGUGACAAACCGGAGGAAGGUGGGGACGACGUCAAAUCAUCAUGCCCCUUAUGACCUGGGCUACACACGUGCUACAAUGGAUGGUACAACGAGUCGCGAGACCGCGAGGUUAAGCUAAUCUCUUAAAACCAUUCUCAGUUCGGACUGUAGGCUGCAACUCGCCUACACGAAGUCGGAAUCGCUAGUAAUCGCGGAUCAGCAUGCCGCGGUGAAUACGUUCCCGGGCCUUGUACACACCGCCCGUCACACCAUGAGAGUUUGUAACACCCAAAGCCGGUGGGG
rnacentral:rRNA from 1 species